rnacentral:rRNA from 1 species
UACGAAGGUCCCAAGCGUUGUCCGGAUUUAUUGGGUUUAAAGGGUGCGUAGGCGGGCUAUUAAGUCAGUGGUGAAAGCCCCAAGCUUAACUUGGGAACUGCCAUUGAUACUGAUGGUCUUGAGUACAUUUGAGGUGGGCGGAAUGUGUCAUGUAGCGGUGAAAUGCUUAGAUAUGACACAGAACACCGAUUGCGAAGGCAGCUCACUAAACUGUAACUGACGCUGAGGCACGAAAGCGUGGGGAGCAAACAGG